GAACGCUGGCGGCAGGCUUAACACAUGCAAGUCGAACGGGUGCGAGCAAUCGCAUCAGUGGCAGACGGGUGAGUAACACGUGGGAACCUUCCUAGGGGUACGGAACAACUCAGGGAAACUUGAGCUAAUACCGUAUACGCCCCGGAGCAAUCCGGGGGAAANAUUCAUCGCCCCUAGACGGGCCCGCGUCGGAUUAGGUAGUUGGUGAGGUAACGGCCCACCAAGCCUAUGAUCCGUAGCUGAUCNGAGAGGAUGAUCAGCCACACUGGGACUGAGACACGGCCCAGACUCCUACGGGAGGCAGCAGUGGGGAAUCUUGGACAAUGGGGGAAACCCUGAUCCAGCCAUGCCGCGUGAGUGAAGAAGGCCU
rnacentral:rRNA from 1 species